GGCAAAUACUACAUGUUAAAUAUUUAUUUUUUUUUUCGAUUUUUUCGAGCAUCAUGAUGAUGGGCGGCCAUUGUAUAUCCCGAUAUACAUAUACCCAGAGAAAUGUUGAACAUUUCCACAACAAAGAGUUAUAGGCGCCGGGAUGUAACACUCUCUUCAUCCAUCCAUCCAUUUUGAUAUUUAUUCUUUUCUUCUUAUAUCUAUUCCUUUUAAACUUGUCGUCGUUAUGUAUAUACAUUUGAACGCGGCACGAUUCACGCUCGCCCGCAUCAAUCGUCCGCUAUGUGUUGAGCUCUUCUCUCCGCAGCACUCUUAUAUAUAUCUAAGCAUAAUAAUAGCCGGCAGCUAUGGAAUAUAUUGUCAGGUUAUUCGACUCAUCAUCCGCAUACCCAAACGGCUUCGGGCGCCAAUUAUUGCCCUCCAAAAUUCAUUUUUAUCUAUUUCCCGAAAAAGAACGAAAAAUUCAAAUUUAUUCAAAUUAAGAAAAAACCCAAAAAUUGAACUGCAAAAAAAGAUGGACCAUUUCUCAGGUAUCCCGAGCCAUGGGACUUUGUAUUAUAUUUCAUGUCUAUUCCGGCGCGUUGAAGUAAUUAAAAGAUACUAAAAACAAAAAAUCAUUUCAGACAGAAAAAUAUUUACGUGAAAAUAAAAAUUUAUUUAUUCUUUUGUUUCGACGAGUGAUGUGUCUGCAGACGUCGCCGCUCUUUUGUUUCGUUUUUCCCCUUCGCCCUCGAAAUGUGACGAACUGGUUCUUAUAUAUUUCUUCUCUCGGAAAAAAUUAUAGACACAAAAUUUCAAAAAACCAACAAAAUUGAAAUAAAACAGAGAGAAGGACUUUGAGCGGCGGACCGUCAAAACAUCUCGGCCAGGUUCUUUUUUUCCGCUUGACGAGGUCGAAAAACACAAAUUUCCCAAAAGCGGAUGAGGAGAUGUGCAUGUUCUUCUUCCCCUUCAACAGUCGGUGCUGGGGCAUGGAGACCACACGCAUACUCCAGCAGGUAUAAAUGUUAUUAAAUAGUCUAAGGAAAUGUCUAAUCUUUUUUCUUUUACUGUUUUCUUUCGAAACAAUUUUUGCCUUCUUUCUUGUUGUGUUAUAAACCGACCACCACGUACACGUAGGAUAAUCACCGGGCAAUAACGACAAGGACCCUGUCGACAAUACACAGCGACAGCACAAAACUGGCGAUUUCAUUUCACCUUUUUCUGCUGAAAUGGCGCAAGACAAAAAACAA